rnacentral:rRNA from 1 species
AUCUGGGCGGCGGAAUUCAAGACGGCUGGCGAGUCUCGCGCCCGUUCGGCCGUUUGAUAUUUCCGUCGCCGUGUCAGACGUCGCGACCUGUUUGUCGUCGGUCCUUGCUCGGAGGAAUUGCGAUCGAGCUCGUUGCGGGCGCGUUUCGGCGUGCUUCGCGGCGAAGACGCGACUCUCUGGCUGACGACGGACAGUAAGCAACGGUGUCCGGCGCCGUGUCUCGCACUCGGCGUCGGUGCCGGUCAGCGACGAUUUCUUCGGGCCUCUUUCCGACCCGUCUUGAAACACGGACCAAGGAGUCUAACAUGCGCGCGAGUCGCGGGGUUUCGAGCGUACCACGGUGCGCUCGUUACUUCCGAAACCCGUACGUUGAAGGCGUAAUGAAAGUGAAUAGGGAAGAUGGCGUUCCGAGUCCACGUACCGUGAUCGAGUAUCGCGGCCGGACGUCCGCACUCCCGGGGCGUCUCAAUGGUUCGCCACGGAUGCGGACGAUCGUCUUUCGGGGCGGUCGUCGGUCUGUGGCGGUCCGA